AUUUAUAAUAUAACAUGUAAAUUUGUAUAUUUUUCUGCAAACUUAUAUAUACACAUAUAUAACAUGUAUCCGACAUCGAAAAGAAUUCUGGAGCGCUCGGUCCAUCGACAUUAUCGCGCGCGAGUGAGCGGAGGGAGUGAGAGGGAAAGACUAGCUCUAGUGCAUGAUCUUCGAAACGAGCCGAGGCGUGACACGGCGCGCGCGACGAUUCGGUCAGCGCGACAUGUUUCGUGGCCAGGCGAGCGCGCGGUCGCGGGAGAAACGCGCGCACGCACAUGUCUCGGUAUCACUGCGGAGAUCGGAGAGAGGGAAGGAAAGUGAUGGGGCGCAAAAUUACGGUGAAGUUAUAGUUGACAUAAACAUUUUAGUGUGUGUUUAAAUGUCGUCAACCUAACCUAACCUGUCCCUGUCCAAAAGAGGAUAUAAUGCAGAGGUGUAGGAUACCUAUAAUGACAAUAUAAUGUCGAAAGGUUUCUGUCAUCACAGACUGUUUACAGUGCGAAAAGAGAUAGCGUAGUGUCAAAGUGCAAUGUAUAUUGCCAACACAUUACGUCCUUAUUCAACAGCAGAAACCCAACAGGUCGGACAAAAAAUGUUUCGCAUAAACUCAUCCGCCUACAAAACGGCCCGAGCGUGCCUGUCGAAAUAUACGGUACUGAGUUGGGCAGUUUCGUUUGUUGAAAAGACAAGGAUGAGUGCAGAACUCAAAUGAUAAUGGAUCUAAAAAUAUCGAUAUUAUCGACAUUUUUAGUUCCACUUAGUAGAUGGCGCAGGACCGUCGGAGUUCGGCCGUCACUCCAGCAUCGCCUUAAUACUUGGACUAAAAUUUUCAUGAGGCGAAUAAUGGUUGAUAGAGUUAAAUUUUUUUCUUGUUGGCUCUAAUUAGUAACUUCUUGCUGGCAUAGAUCCAUAACUCAAAAAGGAUUAUAUUAGAUAACUUUGAUAUUUACGUCACGCGCUGAUUUAUGCCACAGAAGUAAAUCAUAAAAAAUAGAAUAAGUGAUAGUAAUUAGUCUACAACCAUUUUGUUAUAUGCAUUUAUGUUAUGUUAGUAUUAUGUUAUGAUUUUAGAUUUUUAUUAUUAUUAUUAUUAACGAAGCUCUCGGUUGAAUCAGUUUCUCAAUGUAACAACGCAAUCGUGUAUUACGACUUAAUUAAAAUGAUUACUGUAGGAUGUGUAAAAAGCUUAAUGAUUAUUUCGCGAUGCGUGAAUGUAGAUAAAUAAUACUAAAUGGAAUAUAGCAAAAUAUAAGUA